rnacentral:tRNA from 5 species
GCCCGGAUGGCGAAAUUGGUAGACGCAUCGGACUUAAAAUCCGCCGGCCGCGAGGCCAUGCCGGUUCGAUUCCGGCUCCGGGCACCA